CCUCCCUUUACAGAUGUGCAGGAAGCAAUUCUGCAACUGUAACCCCCAUUUUGUAGCAAAAUAAAGUGAAUGUAAAAUUUAAAUAAAGAUAUAGAAAUGGAUAGAGCUUUGGAAGUGGUAGUCCAAUGCACCAUUUUAUCGACAAUGAGAUGCUUUAUUAUGUAAAACUUUAUUCAGUUCCAAAAUAGUACUUCACAGAGAGAUUCAUAAUUAGUUCUGACAACAAUUAAAAAAAAAGUCAUGAACUUUAAAAUAAUGCUGUUACAUCUAGUGCAUUUAUUAAUGAUUGAAGAUUAAGUGUAAGUUUUAAGCUUUGUAAUUAAAGAUAACUACUUUAAUGAGAUUUUCUGUAAUUGUAACAUUAUAUCCAAUACCAAUUAUUACACACUUUAAAAACCCUCUGGAGAAAAUCUUAGAGAUCCUAGUAAGUGCUGCACAUCUCAUUUUCCAUACAUUGGGUUUAAAUUUGUACCCUCUGAGCCCAAUUUGUUGCUUUCCUUAAUUAAUGUUGUUGCAUGAAAUUUCUCCCUUUUGGUCAUUUGACACCCUGAUAGAGAUUGGUUGUGUAGCUGUCAGCUCUCUGCAGGGUGUUGUUAGCACAGAUCUUGUCAGCUUCAGGAGUGGGUAAAUGCAUCCUAGACUGACUUGCUGGUUGAGUCACACCUCAGAGCUUCCAGGCAGGCAGGUCUGUUGGGGUGUGGUGGAAAGCUGAUUUCACCAGCUUUGUAACAGGUGGAAUGCCUCCUGUCCCUCAAGUGGCUCAGCAGAUCAGCCAGGAGAAAAACCAACAGCAAAAUGGACCAAAUUUGUCAAAUCUGCUUAAUUCCUUACACAGCAGGAACCCAGCUCUGCCCCGGCAGGUACAACCAGCAGGAUGGGAUAAGAACCAUGUGCUUGUGCUCCCAGCUCCAGUUCCUCACAACAACAGGGAAUUUUGUCCAUCUGCCAUCUGGCAGAGUUUUUAA
rnacentral:lncRNA from 1 species